AUUCAAUUGACAGCUCCAUUGCUAUGAUGGCUAAGACAUCAAGGGUCCAGAAUGAUAUUGGUGGCACUAGCGCAAAAUCAUCAUAUAAGAAGAAAGAUGGAGGGAAGAAAAAUGACAAGUUUUGUGAGCAUUGUAAAGCAACAGGCCAUACUAAGGAUUCUUGUUUUAAAAUCAUUGGUUAUCCGGAUUGGUAAAAACCAAAGAAAAAUAAAAAAGCUGCAAAUCUCACUACUCAAUCACCCAUAGAAGCAUUAGAAGCUGAUUCACAUGGAUCCAUAGCUAAGAUAGAUGAAUGGAAUGCAAACCUUGCUGCUCUUAUUCUUUAAGAGAUCUUGAAAGUGAUGACAGGUAUACAAGUGGAGGAGGCAGGGUGUGUUGAUUUUACUGGAUUUACAGGUAACAAUGCUCUUCAUAAUGUACCUUACGCUAAUCAUAAUAGGCAUGGUGAUUGGAUUGUCGAUAGUGGGGCAACAUCUCAUAUGUGUUCUAAUAAGACAACUUUGCAUAACAUUUCUUACCCAAGCCUAUUAAGCUCAGUUUUCUUAUUUGAUGGUUCUAUUUAAAAAAUUUCUGGUCUAGGAACCAUUACCCUACAUCCAAACUUGAGCUUGAUAUAUAUCUUGUGUAUUCCUGGUUUUAGGCACAAUUUACUUUCAGUAAGCCAGUUAUCAAAAGAAUCUCAUAUUUCUAUGACUUUCUUUCCUAAUCAUUGUGUGCUGCAGGACCACUGGACUAAGACUGUGAUUGCAAUUGGAAGACCGGAUGAGGGACUGUACAAACUCAACUCUGGUUCUUUCAUCUCAUCACCUUCUAAUCAUAAAUCAGUAUCUUGCAAUACUGGAGUUGUCACAAACAAACCUUUUACUGCUAUCUAGUAUAUUAAUAAAAGUGCAGAUUCCUUUUUAUGGCACACCAUAUUUGGUCAUGCUUCUUCCAAACUUAUGCAUGUUCCUGAUAUUGAUUACAAAUCUGAA
rnacentral:misc_RNA from 1 species